UACAGAGGUGGCGAGCGUUGUUCGGAAUUACUGGGCGUAAAGGGCGCGUAGGCGGCAGGCCAAGCGUGCGGUGAAAGUCCGGGGCUCAACCCCGGAUCUGCCGUGCGGACUGGUUUGCUAGAGCACUGUAGGGGCGAGUGGAAUUCCGGGUGUAGCGGUGGAAUGCGUAGAGAUCCGGAAGAACACCGGUGGCGAAGGCGGCUCGCUGGGCAGUGGCUGACGCUGAGGCGCGAAAGCGAGGGGAGCAAACAGG
rnacentral:rRNA from 1 species